GAGGGUAGGAGGCUGGUGAGUUUGAGGCCACUCAGGCUACAUAACAAGACUCUGCCUCAAAACAAAACUGCUUGCAACAAAUAAACAUCAAAAGGUCUUCUGAAUACUCUGUGUUGCUGCUAAACAAAAGUAGUUAGUUUGCCAAUAGUAAUGUAUAUUUUAGAAGACCGUGAAGAGCAAUAUAAGAAUUCUUAGUGUCCAUGCCUCGCCAGACUCUGACAUGCACUGAUGGUUCACACUUCUUAGGCCAACUCAUGACUCUUGUCUUCAGUAGCUCUUCCAUUCCUAAGAUUCCACAGUUAGUUACUUCCUGUCUUGACAGCUCUCUUUUCUUAUCCAUACAGACUUUUUCCAAACGUCAUUCUGUACAACUCCAACCAGCUCUAGACUCCUGUGCACCUUUCAAACCUCUUCACCUGGCUCACCUCUACUCUGUUCUUAACCUUGAGCUCCUCGGGCCUUCCUUUGGGUUGGAAGUGACAUCCAGUGUGAGCUGUUCUCUGACUUGAAUCAUAUGAAGUCACCUAGAAGAUAGGGCCUCAUCUCAGAAGUGAAAUACACUCAACUCUGCCUAUUCUAUGGGAGAUAAUAUGUCGAGGGACUGACUAUGCAGGAAGGAGAAUUGAGAACUUUCCCAAUUUCAUUUCAACACUGAAAGGAGAUACUGAACAACAGUGGGACCCUAAAAUUCACCCCAGUGUGGUGGCUUUCCAUUAGAACGAUGCUAAGCUGUUCACCUGCACCUCAGGGGAUAUUAUUCUCCAUCAAAUUAUGUUCUUAGGAUUGCAUGAACCUUUCCAUGUCUGUGGCCCUCUCCCUCUAAUGGAUAUUGGAGCAUAAGCAAGAUUGUAAAUCUGUCUAGAGGGCUGAAUUCCAUCUCAUAGGGACCUCAAUUGUUUCCAUUUCCUGUAUGCAUGACACAGCAUGCAGUGAUUGUAAACCAUCCAAUCCUUGUCAGGACUUUCUGUACUUGGUAUAUGCCGUGAUGGACACAGCAACGAUAAUGAAAUGCAAGUAAUCCCGGACUGUCAAGAUGCUUGUGAUGGAACUUUCUGUACACAGCCGAUGCCUGGCCUAAAGGGGAGGGGGAAGUCUAGCGUUCAGAAGAACAGUCCCUGCAUCCUGAUGCUUGGAAGGAAGGAACUCAGAUACCGAGAUAAUGUGAUUAGGAGGCUAUGGUUUGUGCGCUGUGGAGUGAUUGGGGUGCCCCCACUCUUCCCAAGGCUGGUCUCUUCUGUUCUCAGAGGUAAGAGCCAACACCUUUUUGUGCUGUGCAGGAAGACUAGAUUGGCUGUAAAUUUCUAUGUAUCUGGCUUAUUUGGUGUCCUCUAAGCCCCUGGGUAAUUGAUGCUGGCAGAGAAUGGGCAAAGCAUGCCCAUCAAGUUCCUAGUCCGUCUCAUACGACUCCAUGUCUUGCACUUGGUGUCUCUCACACAAUGUCAGCCACUUACAAAACAUUAUCUCCCUUAAUCCCCACAAUCUCCCUGCUUCGUAGGUUACUAGGUUUGCAUUUGCAGAUGACAAGACAAAUCUGUGUAAGAUUACAUCUUGCCAAGGCUUCGGGGUAGAGGAAUCAGGACUUGAAUUGAAUUCAUCCUCAGUGCAUUGUGCCUUAUUUCACUGUAUUCAAAGAGCCAGAGGACGAGACGACUACUUGGUUUAAUUUUACAAUUACUUUGGAAUUUAGUACAAACUUUCUGUAACACUGGAUUUUUAGCCACCUUUGUCUUUACAAAGCUUCUCCUGAUCUCAAAUAUAUAUAUAUAUAGUUUCAGGGGUUCGGGUUCAUCAUUCUCAUGUAAUAUUCUUUUCCCCAUUCUUCUUUCCUUUUUGUAGUACUGGAAUCAAAGUCAGAUGUAAACAUUACUGCUAAGACCUAAGACAUGCUCCCAUCCCAUCUCUUCUUUUAAAUUUGCUUUUCUGACAUGGUAGAGUUUUUACAGUUAUAAUUUUAGUAACAACACAAUAGAUAUGCUUGUUAAAUGUUCAAUCAUUAAAAAAAUUCUUAAAUGCGUCAAGGAGGUUCAAAUAGCAAAAAAAUGUACCCUAUUUUUGAAAAUUAGCAUAUAGUCAAAGAAAAAAGGAAAGGGAAAAGAAAAAUGAUUUUUCAAAAUAAGAGAAUUCCCUUAAAAAGCAACACUCCCAUUAGAAGAUCUCAAAGUUAAGAGUACAUGAAGAUCUGCAGUCCUUGGUAGCAAAAUCAUGGCCACUACAGUGACUGUGUCAAACAAUGAUAGCCAUCUGUUCUAGGCAUUGCUCGGUUUCAGAAUCCCACAGGAGUAAAGAAUGUGGUACUUUAUAGACUCCAGUCGAUAGGGAUAUUUCUGAAGGGGCUUUCUCUCAUCCACUGGCAUGCGUCGGUCCAAAUGCUGCUAGAAUCAUGGUGUUCUCACAAGUCAGGAUACUGUGCUGUCAUCUAUUCUAGUCCAUCCUGCUCCCUCUAGUUGAGGCCACACCCAAGCUAGGCAGACAGAUGAGACUCUAUUUUUAACAAGAUGCAGAGCCUGGGAGUGUCCCUCAUUUGUUCAGCAACCCCAUUUCAGAAACUAGCCACACAUCCAAUUUAAUUUUGACACUAUGAAUGGAGAACCUCUGCACACCUCUUAAAACUUUGUAUCUAUUACUGUCAUCUUUUAUGAAUUUAAACUUAACAAAAUAAUAAAUAGAGAUUAAAGAAACAAA